rnacentral:rRNA from 1 species
GUCCACGCCUUAAACUAUGAAUACUAAGUGUCGGCGGGUUACCGCCGGUGCCGCAGCUAACGCAUUAAGUAUUCCGCCUGGGAAGUACGGCCGCAAGGUUGAAACUCAAAGGAAUUGACGGGGGCCCGCACAAGCGGUGGAGCAUGUGGUUUAAUUCGACGCAACGCGAAGAACCUUACCCAGGCUGGACAUGCAGGUAGUAGAAUGGUGAAAGCCUAAACGAGGUAGCAAUACCAUCCUGCUCAGGUGCUGCAUGGCUGUCGU